GUUUAAGUUCUUAGUACUGCAAUUCAUCACUAAGCUCUCUUUUAUCAUAAGCCCCCAGCUUUUGGGGAAAGGGGAAGUAAAGCUGUCAGAUUGACUGUAGCAGAUCUAUUGUGAGGGAAAGGACAGGUACAAGGAAAGAAAAAAAGCUCGAGAAAAACAGAGUGAUCAACUGAAAAAAAAUGACACUGGUUAAACUAGAAAUUAAAGUGAUGGAUAGAAAGUAUCAAUACAAAUUUAAAAUGCUAACAUGUUUUAUUACUUAGAACUUCAAGGCUUUUCUGAAUAGAUGGGUGAAAGCAGAAUAAACAUCACUUUUACUGUUAUUUGGGAAGUAAUAAGCAAGUUGUCAUGUCUAAAGAACCACAAAGAAUGGGGCUUAUUGUCUUCAUCCUUUGAAAUACUCCACUCUAACUCACAGGUGCUCCCAUAAAAAGAAGCAUGGAGAGGCUAGCUAUCAUGAGAAUGUGGCUUGCGUGGGAACCUUCAAUUAUAUGAUGAAUCACACAAUCCUACAUGUCUAUCUGUAUACUGAAUGGGACUGUGGAAAGCAGACCUGAUUAAUGUCCUCUACAAGGAGAAAACGGAUGGAUGGAAGAUAAAUUAUCCAAAAAAGGAUUUACUCUCUCUCACAGCAUUGAAUAAUUCAGAAAUUCAGAAGAUUCUUCCUUUUUCCCUCUUCCGUCUGGUUGGGACUUGCCUUUGGAAGAAGAUUCCCCAGAGGCCACACACUGUGUGGAGCCCAGGUAGCCUGGUUACACACUGCUUGUGUCUAGUAUUUCCUAGUGGCUGGCUCCAGCCUUUGCUCAGCAUGCAUCACUCUAUAGAAGCCUCUAACUUGAAGUGGAAAAAUUGUUCUCCUGAGGUCAGGCCUUUUAGGCUGUGUGUUGCAAAUAGUGGGCAGAAAAGCUUUGGAACUGCUAGUGAGCUGCUUAUAGUUUAAGACAACUGAACACAAUCAGUUACCGUGUCAGGCACAGACUAUAUUCCUGCGGAAGAAACCUGUUAUUAAGAAAACAAGAACCAUUAUCUUAUCUUCAGACUUUGGAAACACUAACAUCAGCUUUGUGUAAUGAUACAAAGGUCUGCCUAUGUACUGCGAGAGCUAUGAAAAGAAACAUAUCCUAGAUGACUGAACACACUUUUUACAUAGGUUGAAAAUAUAACGUUGUCUUUUUAAAUUAAAAAAAUGACUAGAUAAUAAAUAAAGAUGAUGCAACGAUCA
rnacentral:lncRNA from 1 species